UCGAACGGAGAAUUGCUAGCUUGCUAAUAAUUCUCUAGUGGCGCACGGGUGAGUAACACGUGAGUACCUGCCCCCGAGAGCGGGAUAGCCCUGGGAAACUGGGAUUAAUACCGCAUAGUGAAAUAAAGCAGCAAUGCGCUUGGGGAUGGGCUCGCGGCCUAUUAGUUAGUUGGUGAGGUAACGGCUCACCAAGGCGAUGACGGGUAGCCGGUCUGAGAGGAUGUCCGGCCACACUGGAACUGAGACACGGUCCAGACACCUACGGGUGGCAGCAGUCGAGAAUCAUUCACAAUGGGGGAAACCCUGAUGGUGCGACGCCGCGUGGGGGAUAAGGUCUUCGGAUUGUAAACCCCUGUCAUGUGGGACAUUAAAAAGAUAGUACCACAAGAGGAAGAGACGGCUAACUCUGUGCCAGCAGCCGCGGUAAUACAGAGGUCUCAAGCGUUGUUCGGAAUCACUGGGCGUAAAGCGUGCGUAGGCUGUUUCGUAAGUCGUGUGUGAAAGGCGCGGGCUCAACCCGCGGACGGCACAUGAUACUGCGAGACUAGAGUAAUGGAGGGGGAACCGGAAUUCUCGGUGUAGCAGUGAAAUGCGUAGAUAUCGAGAGGAACACUCGUGGCGAAGGCGGGUUCCUGGACAUUAACUGACGCUGAGGCACGAAGGCCAGGGGAGCGAAAGGGAUUAGAUACCCCUGUAGUCCUGGCAGUAAACG
rnacentral:rRNA from 1 species